rnacentral:rRNA from 1 species
AGUGAACGCUGGCGGUAGGCCUAACACAUGCAAGUCGAACGGCAGCACAGUAAGAGCUUGCUCUUACGGGUGGCGAGUGGCGGACGGGUGAGGAAUACAUCGGAAUCUACUUUUUCGUGGGGGAUAACGUAGGGAAACUUACGCUAAUACCGCAUACGACCUACGGGUGAAAGCAGGGGAUCUUCGGACCUUGCGCGAUUGAAUGAGCCGAUGUCGGAUUAGCUAGUUGGCGGGGUAAAGGCCCACCAAGGCGACGAUCCGUAGCUGGUCUGAGAGGAUGAACAGCCACACUGGAAAGGAGACACGGUCCAGACUCCUACGGGGGGCAGCAGUGGGGAAUAUUGGACAAUGGGCGCAAGCCUGAUCCAGCCAUACCGCGUGGGUGAAGAAGGCCUUCGGGUUGUAAAGCCCUUUUGUUGGGAAAGAAAAGCAGCAGGUUAAUACCCCGCUGUUCUGACGGUACCCAAAGAAUAAGCACCGGCUAACUUCG